ensembl:lncRNA
GAUAUAAGCUGCCCCAGAGACACAGAGACCUGGGAAGACUGUGGCCUCAGUCCCACAGGGUGACCUCAGUCCUGAGCCGGCAGGGAGAAAGUAACGAAUUCCUGGAGGGCUCUGGACACUCUGGAGGGAGGAGCAGCUACUUCUUCGCUGCUGUUUCUGAACCAGGGGAGUGGGGGGCCACCUCGGUGUCCCCUCCCCGAGCGCCAGGAACACGGCUGUUGGCUGAGACAGAAGAGACACAGUGGGAUUCUUCUGCCUCUGGCCUCUAGGCUGCCAGGUCUGAGACCGGGAGACCUCCCAUCUUCCCUUCACCCUUCUUCUCUCCCUUCCCUGGCCACACCAGGCCUCUCCUCUGACCUUCCCUCAGAGGCUCCAUGGUGUUUGGGGCAGCCUCUUUCCCC